rnacentral:rRNA from 1 species
AGUGAACGCUGGCGGUAGGCCUAACACAUGCAAGUCGAACGGCAGCACAGUAAGAGCUUGCUCUUACGGGUGGCGAGUGGCGGACGGGUGAGGAAUACAUCGGAAUCUACUUUUUCGUGGGGGAUAACGUAGGGAAACUUACGCUAAUACCGCAUACGAACUACGGGUGAAAGCAGGGGAUCUUCGGACCUUGCGCGAUUGAAUGAGCCGAUGUCGGAUUAGCUAGUUGGCGGGGUAAAGGCCCACCAAGGCGACGAUCCGUAGCUGGUCUGAGAGGAUGAUCAGCCACACUGGAACUGAGACACGGUCCAGACUCCUACGGGAGGCAGCAGUGGGGAAUAUUGGACAAUGGGCGCAAGCCUGAUCCAGCCAUACCGCGUGAGUGAAGAAGGCCUUCGGGCUGUAAAGCCCUUUUGUUGGGAAAGAAAAGCAGCAGGUUAAUACCCCGCUGUUCUGACGGUACCCAAAGAAUAAGCACCGGCUAACUUCGUG